GGGCCCUUAGCUCAUCUGGUAGAGCGCCUGAUUUGCAUUCAGGAGGUGGUCGGUUCGAGUCCGAUAGGGUCCACCA
rnacentral:tRNA from 1 species